rnacentral:misc_RNA from 1 species
AAGUCGUAACAAGGUUUCCGUAGGUGAACCUGCGGAAGGAUCAUUAACAAAUUGGCUGGGUCUAGGCCCACAUUGACUCGGGGGCUUAGGGGAGAACUAUGGUGGUGAAAACUACUAUGGUGUUCCCUAAGGUCCCUAGAGACAUUUACGCUUGUUGUGUAUGACUGAGUUUAUUAUGUAGCCUAAAAAAGACAACUUUUAACAAUGGAUCUCUUGGCUCUU